UACGGGGGGAGCAAGCGUUGUUCGGAUUUACUGGGCGUAAAGGGCGCGUAGGCGGCGCCGCAAGUCACUUGUGAAAUCUCCGGGCUCAACUCGGAACGGCCAAGUGAUACUGCGGUGCUAGAGUGCGGAAGGGGCAACUGGAAUUCUUGGUGUAGCGGUGAAAUGCGUAGAGAUCGGAAAGAACACCAACGGCGAAAGCACUCUGCUGGGCCGACACUGACACUGAGAGACGAAAGCUAGGGGAGCGAAUGGG
rnacentral:rRNA from 1 species